rnacentral:rRNA from 1 species
UAGGGAAUCUUCCACAAUGGACGAAAGUCUGAUGGAGCAACGCCGCGUGAGUGAAGAAGGGUUUCGGCUCGUAAAACUCUGUUGUAUGGGAAGAACAGCUAGAAUAGGAAAUGAUUUUAGUUUGACGGUACCAUACCAGAAAGGGACGGCUAAAUACGUGCCAG